UAUUCGUUCAACGAGCUACGAGAACUAUGUUAUGUAUAUGUAUAUGGCGCGACCCGCCAUAAGUAUUCAGUCAUCACGAAGUUCAUUUAACCAAUUAAGUAACUACGUACCUAAAUAACUAAAAUAUGUAUAUUAUUAUUUUUAAUUUAUUUUGUUUUUCAGUUUUAACAUCCAAAAUUAACCGGCAAUGCCAACAAUAUAUUAUUGACUGUACAGAUGUUUUGAUCAAAUGGCCCGGCAUUAAUGGCUAAUAUUAUGAACAACUUGAAUGUAACUACGGAGACAAUUAAUUAUUUAAAUGUUACUAAAAAUUAAAAAAAUUUCAUAUGUUGUACAGAACGUGUACAUUUUCGGAUCUUAGACUUCAUGUUUUACACACUUGAUAAAACAAACGUUAUCGGUUAAGUCCCAUCCGUGCAUAAAUAUAACUAUGUUAUAACUGGUGAGUAUUAAAUUAAUAAAUUGUUUGGGUUUUUUUUUCAUCUUUACCUUCUUGACUUGAUUUAGUUACAUUAACCAGUUAGGUUUUAUGAUUUAAAAGUUUUAAUUGGAAUUCAAAUGGAAUUGGAAUUUAAUGCGAUUUUUAAUAAAACAAUCUUAAAGAAUGAUUAUUUUUUUGUUUAGAACAUGAAACACAUGACCAAUAAACUGAAAUGUGUCCCAGUCAAUUUAAUUAACCAAGUUCUUGCAUACUGAGAUUAAGUGCAACAUCACUGCUGAAAACCAAUGGAAGUCAUACAUAGAUAGUAGAGUGUUUUACAUCAAAGGUGGUAAAUGAUUUGUCCAUACAUUUGGAUUACCUAAUUAUAAUUAUAAAUAAUAUUCAUGUUGAUUUAUUAAAUUCUUUAAAUUUUUCAAAUAGAAUUUUGAUUUAUUCCUAAUUAAGAAUUAAUUAUAAUUAAUAAAAUUAACAAUAUUAUAUGUUUACUGAGUAAAAAAUUAUAUUUAU